AGUGAACGCUGGCGGUAGGCCUAACACAUGCAAGUCGAACGGCAGCACAGUAAGAGCUUGCUCUUACGGGUGGCGAGUGGCGGACGGGUGAGGAAUACAUCGGAAUCUACUUUUUCGUGGGGGAUAACGUAGGGAAACUUACGCUAAUACCGCGUACGACCUACGGGUGAAAGCAGGGGAUCUUCGGACCUUGCGCGAUUGAAUGAGCCGAUGUCGGAUUAGCUAGUUGGCGGGGUAAAGGCCCACAAAGGCGACGAUCCGUAGCUGGUCUGAGAGGAUGAUCAGCCACACUGGAACUGAGACACGGUCCAGACUCCUACGGGAGGCAGCAGUGGGGAAUAUUGGACAAUGGGCGCAAGCCUGAUCCAGCCAUACCGCGUGGGUGAAGAAGGCCUUCGGGUUGUAAAGCCCUUUUGUUGGGAAAGAAAAGCAGCAGGUUAAUACCCCGCUGUUCUGACGGUACCCAAAGAAUAAGCACCGGCUAACUUCGUG
rnacentral:rRNA from 1 species